UACGAAGGGGGCGAGCGUUGUUCGGAUUUACUGAGCGUAAAGGGUGCGCAGGCGGCCAAGUGUGUUAGGCGUGAAAGCCCGGGGCUUAACCCCGGAAUUGCACCUAAAACUACAUGGCUAGAGCAUUGGAGAGGGUAGCAGAAUUCAUGGUGUAGCAGUGAAAUGCGUAGAUAUCAUGAGGAAUACCAGAGGCGAAGGCGGCUACCUGGACAAUUGCUGACGCUCAGGCACGAAAGCGUGGGGAGCAAAAGGG
rnacentral:rRNA from 1 species